rnacentral:rRNA from 1 species
UACGGAGGAUCCGAGCGUUAUCCGGAUUUAUUGGGUUUAAAGGGUGCGCAGGCGGGAUAUUAAGUCGGCGGUGAAAGUUUGCAGCUUAACUGUAAAAUUGCCGUUGAUACUGGUAUUCUUGAGUGUAUAUGAAGUAGGCGGAAUUUGUAGUGUAGCGGUGAAAUGCAUAGAUAUUACAAGGAACUCCGAUUGCGAAGGCAGCUUACUAAAUUACAACUGACGCUUAGGCACGGAGGCGUGGGUAUCAAACAGG